GGCAGUCGGAAAGAGUUAAUCAAUGUGUAGAGAAUUAUUUGAGGUGUAUGGUUCAUUUGAAGCCUACUACGUGGAGUUCUUGGUUACCUAUGGCAGAGUGGUGGUAAAAUUCAUCACAUCACAGUGCUAUUCAAAUGACUCCAUUUGAAGCACUGUAUGGGUAUGCUCCACCUCUAUUUCAUGAAAAUUGUACUGUUGAUUCAUCAAUUGGGGCUAUAGGGAGAUUGUUACAAGAGAGACAGCAUCUUAAUAAUCUCUUAAAGGAAAAUUUACAAGUGGCCCAACAUAGGAUGAAGCAGCAAGCUGACAAGAGGAGAACUGAGAGGGAAUUUGUUGUUGGGGAUUGGGUGUAUUUGAAACUUCAGCCUUAUAGGCAGACUUCAGUAUCUGUCAGACAAACCCUUAAACUUUCUGCUAAGUUUUAUGGGCCAUUCAGAAUUCUUGCUAAGAUUGGGAAAGUUGCUUAUCAAUUAGACUUGCCUCCAACAGCUACUAUUCACCCUGUUUUCCAUGUAUCCAUGCUUAAGAAGAAGGUUGGGGAUGGUGUAAUGGAUGCUACUGAUUUACCUAUUAUGCAAGAUGACCAUAUUAAAGUUGUACCUGAGCAGGUGUUGCAGACUAGAAUAAUUGAAAGAGGAGACUAGAGAGUGGAACAAGGACUUAUUAAAUGGCUUAAUCUGUCAACAGAGGAUGCCACUUCGGAAGAUAGAAGUUUUAUUGAGGGGCAAUUUCCUAAAGUCUCACUUUCUUGGGGACAAGAAAGUACUAAAGGAGGGGGUAUUAUUACGUACUAUAGAAAGAAAUAUA
rnacentral:misc_RNA from 1 species